CUGGGAAAUAGCCACAAUGAUUAUGUGGACCAACCAUGGAUUCUUUCUUAUAAAAAAUAAAUGAACUAUCGUAGUGUGCACUGUGCAGAAGGCUUCCACCUCAGGGGAGAACUGAGAUGACUUCAAUGACCUGGAGGGACUCUCUGGAAGAACGUGCAGCUGAAGGCUUUGUUUCCAAUCAACACUGGAGCUGAUGAGCUUCUUUUAUAACAGAAUCCCCUUCUCCCAGCGGUUGCAGGAUCAAUAGAGAGAGAUGAGAUCUCCAAGUUGUCUGCUGACAUUUAAGAAAAAUGGUGACUCUCUCAAGCCUUUGUGAUCUAAAGUAGGGGUUAGCAAGCUUUUUUUUUUAUUUUAUGAACCUCUGAAAGGUCCAUAAAUAUUUUAGGCUUUGUGGUCUCACAACCACAAACAUGUAAAUGAGUGAAUUUU
rnacentral:lncRNA from 1 species